AUGUUUGCAAGCUGGAGGUGGGAGGUGGUUCCAGAGAAAUCCGAGGCCAACAGUGCUGGUCACGACGGCGGCGACGCCCGAGGGCACCGUACCCUUCUUGUAGGCGCUGUCCAGGUUGCCUCCUUCCCCUCUUCCUUCCACCCAGCUCGUAUGCCGGGCGAAAGCCCAAAUCCUUGCCGGAUCGAGCGACAGCGGUGCUCCGGGCGUCGUCACCUUUUUGGGGGUGUCGUUCGUGGUGAGCUUGGGGUGGAUGUGAUGCUUUGGUUGCUUGGCGGCGGAUUGGUCUUCAGCAGCCCUGCCGGUCUCGGCGGAGCGGUGCUUCAUCCUACUCAUUGA
rnacentral:rRNA from 1 species